GAUCGGCUAUACUUUCAUAUAUCUAUCCUCUCCUCAUAACUGGUCGCGGCUG
ncrna:unclassified sequences S4-Bacteroidia ribosomal protein leader